rnacentral:lncRNA from 1 species
NNUUCAAUCCCACUUUAUUCUGCCCUUACUUGGGUAUUACUCCAAAGUCACUCCUGCUUUACUCCGAGGUUACCCAACACUUCCAAGUCCACCUUACUCUGCCGUUACUUGGGCAUUACUCCGAGGUUACUCCUGUUUUACUCCGAGGUUCCGUGGCACUUUCAAUUCCUCCUUAUUCUGAUGUUUCUCUGACUUUAUUUGGGUAUUACUCCAAGAUUACUCCGGCUUUACUCCGAGGUUCCACAGCACUUCCAAUUUUACCUUACUCCGCUGUUACUCAGCCAUUACUCCAAGGUUACUCCGAUGCUACUCCUGCUUUACUCUGAGGUUCCACAACACUUUCAGCCCCACCUUAUUCCACCAUUACUUGGGUAUUACUCCAAGGUUACUCCUGUUUUACUCCGAGGUUACACAACUCUUUCAGUCCCACUUUAUUCUGAUGUUACUCUGCCUUUACUCGGGUGUUACUCCAAGGUUACUCCUUCUUUACUCCAAGGUUACACAACACUUCCAAUUCCACCUUACUCCGCCAUUACUUCGGCCUUACUCCGAGGUUACUCCAAAAUUACUCCCGCUUUACUCCAAGGUUCCCCAACACUUUCACUCCCACUUUAUUCCGAUGUUACUCUGCCUUUACUCGGGUCUUACUCCAAGGUUACUCUGGCUUUACUCUGAGGUUACACAACUCUUUCACAGUCCCACUUUAUUCCGAUGUUACUCUGCCUUUACUCGGGUGUUACUCCAAGGUUACUCCUGCUUUACUCCGAGGUUCCCCGACACUUCCAAUCCCACCUUACUCCAGGGUUACUCCGCCUUUACUCUGCUCUUACUCCAAGGUUACUCCCAC